GGAUGAACGCUGGCGGCGUGCCUAAUACAUGCAAGUCGAGCGAACAGACGAGGAGCUUGCUCCUCUGACGUUAGCGGCGGACGGGUGAGUAACACGUGGAUAACCUACCUAUAAGACUGGGAUAACUUCGGGAAACCGGAGCUAAUACCGGAUAACAUGUUGAACCGCAUGGUUCAACAGUGAAAGACGGUCUUGCUGUCACUUAUAGAUGGAUCCGCGCCGCAUUAGCUAGUUGGUAAGGUAACGGCUUACCAAGGCAACGAUGCGUAGCCGACCUGAGAGGGUGAUCGGCCACACUGGAACUGAGACACGGUCCAGACUCCUACGGGAGGCAGCAGUAGGGAAUCUUCUGCAAUGGGCGAAAGCCUGACGGAGCAACGCCGCGUGAGUGAAGAAGGUCUUCGGAUCGUAAAACUCUGUUAUUAGGGAAGAACAAAUGUGUAAGUAACUAUGCACGUCUUGACGGUACCUAAUCAGAAAGCCACGGCUAACUACGUG
rnacentral:rRNA from 1 species